rnacentral:misc_RNA from 1 species
GAAAUGCGAUAAGUAAUGUGAAUUGCAGAAUUCAGUGAAUCAUCGAAUCUUUGAACGCACAUUGCGCCCGCCAGUAUUCUGGCGGGCAUGCCUGUUCGAGCGUCAUUACAACCCUCAGGCCCCCGGGCCUGGCGUUGGGGAUCGGCGGAAGCCCCCUGCGGGCACAUCGCCGUCCCCCAAAUACAGUGGCGGUCCCGCCGCAGCUUCCAUUGCGUAGUAGCUAACACCUCGCAACUGGAGAGCGGCGCGGCCACGCCGUAAAACACCCAACUUCUGAAUGUUGACCUCGAAUCAGGUAGGAAUACCCGCUGAACUUAAGC